GAUGAACGCUGGCGGCGUGCCUAAUACAUGCAAGUCGAGCGAACGGACGAGAAGCUUGCUUCUCUGAUGUUAGCGGCGGACGGGUGAGUAACACGUGGUUAACCUACCUAUAAGACUGGGAUAACUUCGGGAAACCGGAGCUAAUACCGGAUAAUAUUUUGAACCGCAUGGUUCAAAAGUGAAAGACGGUCUUGCUGUCACUUAUAGAUGGAUCCGCGCUGCAUUAGCUAGUUGGUAAGGUAACGGCUUACCAAGGCAACGAUGCAUAGCCGACCGGAGAGGGGGAUCGGCCACACUGGAACGGAGACACGGUCCAGAGUCCUGCGGGAGGCAGCAGUAGGGAAUCGUACGCAGUGGGCGAGAGCCUGACGGAGUAAGGCGGCGUGAGUGAUGAAGAUCUUCGGAUCGUAAAACUCUGUUAUUAGGGAAGAACAUAUGUGUAAGUAGCUGUACACAUCUUGACGGUACCUAAUCAGAAAGCCACGGCUAACUACGUG
rnacentral:rRNA from 1 species